rnacentral:rRNA from 1 species
CACGUAGGGGACGAGCGUUGUCCGGAUUCAUUGGGCGUAAAGCGCGCGUAGGCGGGUUUCCAAGUCGGUUGUGAAAUCCCUCAGCUCAACUGAGGAACUGCAUCCGAUACUGUUUGUCUUGAGGACGGGAGGGGAGAGUGGAACUUCUGGUGAAGCGGUGAAAUGCGUAGAUAUCAGAAGGAACGCCGGUGGCGAAAGCGACUCUCUGGCCCGUAUCUGACGCUGAGGCGCGAAAGCUUGGGUAGCAAACGGG